CAGUGCAGUCACCCAUAAAGUAGAAAGCACUACUAACAGCACUGGAGGGUGUAGUGUUUCCUACUUUAUGGAUGAGUGUACUGU
rfam:Felis catus isolate Cinnamon breed Abyssinian chromosome E1, whole genome shotgun sequence.